UCUAGUUUUUUGGCGUAUCUAACUAUGGGUACUCUAAGUGUUUUAGCAGUCACUAUUAUAUCUAUAAUAUCUAUAACAUCCUCCCGCCAUCUACUGUUAUCAGUCGUGUACCAUUUAGACUAAUUCCUUCCAAUUUACUAUACAUAAUACUUUCGAAUUUUCUUCUGUACAUCAUAUUUCUUUCUUUUUACCAAGCCUGCAACGUGUUUUUUUCCUUUGAGACGCCAAUUUC